rnacentral:rRNA from 1 species
AUGAACGCUGGCAGCGUGCCUAAUACAUGCAAGUCGAGCGAACAGACGAGGAGCUUGCUCCUCUGACGUUAGCGGCGGACGGGUGAGUAACACGUGGAUAACCUACCUAUAAGACUGGGAUAACUUCGGGAAACCGGAGCUAAUACCGGAUAAUAUAUUGAACCGCAUGGUUCAAUAGUGAAAGACGGUUUUGCUGUCACUUAUAGAUGGAUCCGCGCCGCAUUAGCUAGUUGGUAAGGUAACGGCUUACCAAGGCAACGAUGCGUAGCCGACCUGAGAGGGUGAUCGGCCACACUGGAACUGAGACACGGUCCAGACUCCUACGGGAGGCAGCAGUAGGGAAUCUUCCGCAAUGGGCGAAAGCCUGACGGAGCAACGCCGCGUGAGUGAUGAAGGUCUUCGGAUCGUAAAACUCUGUUAUUAGGGAAGAACAAAUGUGUAAGUAACUAUGCACGUCUUGACGGUACCUAAUCAGAAAGCCACGGCUAACUACGUG